GAAUCUAAAAAUACAAUGUAAUAACAAAAAAAGUUAUUUGGAAUUGUAUUUUGCAUGUUUUUCUUUCCAACUUACAUUUAUAUUAAUUCAUAUUUAUUAUAUUUUAUGAAAGUUACCAGUCCAAACAGAUUGCAAAUUUAAAGAAAACCAGUCCUGAGACUGGGUGCGGCGGCUCACGCCUGUAAUCCCAGCAACAGUCCCCAACUCAGACCAGCUCACUGGCUCUUGUCUCUCUUUCCUCCUUAGCCCCACUCCCCAUCAGUAGGAAAAAAUAAGUGACAAAUCCCUCUUAUUUCCCAUAAAGAGGCAGCAUAAAUAUUCUCUUUUUCCUUCCUUCAAGGCCUCUCACUUUUAUUACAGGUAACUUAUUAAAAUAUUUUCCUGAAAGCAGUUCUUUCCCUAAAGGAGAUUGUCUGCUAGCGCCAGAGUGUUUGAUAAAAAUUGAGUAGUAUUAGGCCAGGCUCUGUGGCUCACGCCUGUGAUCCCAGCACUUUGGGAGGCCG
rnacentral:lncRNA from 1 species